UACGAAGGGGGCUAGCGUUGCUCGGAAUCACUGGGCGUAAAGCGCACGUAGGCGGCUUUUUAAGUCAGGGGUGAAAUCCUGGAGCUCAACUCCAGAACUGCCUUUGAUACUGAGAGCUUGAGUCCGGGAGAGGUGAGUGGAACUGCGAGUGUAGAGGUGAAAUUCGUAGAUAUUCGCAAGAACACCAGUGGCGAAGGCGGCUCACUGGCCCGGUACUGACGCUGAGGUGCGAAAGCCAGGGGAGCGAACGGGG
rnacentral:rRNA from 1 species